UUGUUGUUAUAUUUGACUGUUAAAAUUUGCUUGUGCUUUUAAAUAUAUACCAUUGGUAAUGUAUUUAAGCAAUCAGAAGUGUAAAUGAAAAUGUAUUGUCUAGGAUGACUAAAGCAAGGGUAGGAGAAACCCAAGAUGCAAAAUGAGUGAAAUCAAUUUGUUUGACAUUUAUUGGGAUUUGACACCUGCAACUGCUUGUGACAGCAGUCCUGAUGUUCAAAGAAUACUGACUGCUGGACUGAGAAGGAGCCACUUCAGGCAUGGUCAAAAAGAGAAGGAAAGUAAGUUUCAGAGGUGGAGCUGGGAGGCUGUCUUUUCCAGCUGGCUAGCCACGAGUAAUUCUUACCUACUGGACUGCUAAAUAGGGGAAAAGGUAAUAUAUUUCAGGUCAGCAGGGCUCAAUUCCAAGGAAAAAGAGAAAGGCUAGUUUCUUUUUUAAUUAUUAUUCUAAGAGGAAAUGUAAAAUACUGCUUUGUUUCUGCUUUACUGAAUGCAGGCUAGUGUACUGCCUGGCUCCAGCUCUGUGAUGUUUUGUUUUGUUCAUAGGAGCUUAGAGGGAAAGUAGGGCUUAUUUUCCUCCAUGGGUACACCUUUCAACUAAAGGCAAAACAACUAAUAAUUGUGAAAUAAAUCAACUGUGAAAUCAAUUUAGGUUCAAUUCUACUUAUAUAACCAAAUUCAGCGG
rnacentral:lncRNA from 1 species